AUGAAAGGUUUAACUGGAGAUAGGUGUCUUUUUUAUAAAAGAGUAAUUUGUAUUUUGAGUUAAAAUACUUAAUUGAACUUAAGGGACGAUAAGACCCUAAAAGCUUUAUUUUAAGUAAGUGCGUUUUGCUGAUCUUUAAAGUGAUUUAGCUGGGGUAGCUGGUUUAAUUAAACUAAAUCGGUUAAGAGACUCUUUGAGAGGUUGAAGGUCCUUUAUAUAAGGAUACAUAGAUACAGUUACUUUAGGGAUAACAGCGUGAUAGUUUUGGUGAGAUCUUAUCUAUAAGGCUGAUUGCGACCUCGAUGUUGAAUUAUAAGUUCUUUGCAGUGCUACAUCUGUGAAACAAGGUUUGUUCAACCUUUAAAUUUUUACGUGAUCUGAGUUUCAGACCGGUCUGUUCGACCUUUAAAGCACUACGUGAUCGGAGUUCAGACCAGACCCUACGGAUUGGUCUGUUCGACCAUUAAAGUCCUACGUGAUCUGAGUUCAGACCGG
rnacentral:rRNA from 1 species